GGGGCCGACCUGGUUUCGACAGCGGCUUCGUGAUGCUGGUAAGCAUGCCGAGCGAUGGGGACAGGCUCUUCAAAACGAUCCCCGCGCCAUAACCGGCGACUACAGCUACGCUCUCGCUGCCUAAUAGCCUCAGGCUAUGAAGCUUCAUCCGCGCGAACAACAGUAACGCGGACGAGUACUCCUCGGAACGACACGUCGUCCACGUUCCGGAUCAGGGGUAUCAGCUUGGAAGACUGGUCAACACGGUGAUCCGGAGUGUUGAUGAGAGAACAGGGUCUAAGUCCACGUUAGGGUGCCACUUCCCGGGCGCGGAUCGAAAACCAACAAGACGGCUAAGCAUGUAGAAAGCCCGCGUUGCGGUCGUUUGGACGAGGGUUCGAAUCCCUCCGGCUCCAC
rnacentral:tmRNA from 1 species